rnacentral:rRNA from 1 species
AGUGAACGCUGGCGGUAGGCCUAACACAUGCAAGUCGAACGGUAGCACAGGAGAGCUUGCUCUCUGGGUGGCGAGUGGCGGACGGGUGAGGAAUACAUCGGAAUCUACUUUUUCGUGGGGGAUAACGUAGGGAAACUUACGCUAAUACCGCAUACGACCUACGGGUGAAAGCAGGGGAUCUUCGGACCUUGCGCGAUUGACUGAGCCGAUGUCGGAUUAGCUAGUUGGCGGGGUAAAGGCCCACCAAGGCGACGAUCCGUAGCUGGUCUGAGAGGAUGAUCAGCCACACUGGAACUGAGACACGGUCCAGACUCCUACGGGAGGCAGCAGUGGGGAAUAUUGGACAAUGGGCGCAAGCCUGAUCCAGCCAUACCGCGUGGGUGAAGAAGGCCUUCGGGUUGUAAAGCCCUUUUGUUGGGAAAGAAAUCCAGCUGGCUAAUACCCGGUUGGGAUGACGGUACCCAAAGAAUAAGCACCGGCUAACUUCGUGCCAGCCGCCGCAGUAAUAC